ACAGCCAACAGGGGGAGCAGUGCGAGCGUGAAGGCAGACAGUGGCCUGGCCCAGUCUGAUG
rnacentral:lncRNA from 1 species